UGUAGAAAGAAUUGCAGAUAAGCAACGGCUGAUGAAAAGGAUAAAAUUCAAUAGUCAAGACAUACCACACUGACAAUCCUAUUUGGUAUUCCUACCAAUUGAUUUUUGACAAAUGUAAAUACAAUAUAUUCAUAGUUCCAUCACUCUAAAUUAUAUUGAAAGUUUAUACUCAUUCCAUGUAUAAUGCAUACAUUGUUAUGUAUUUUAAUAUUUAAUCAAUUUUCAUGAUUAUUUUCAAGAUCAUCUUAAACAUAAAUACAGAAAACGAUCACGUCACCCAUUAUAGAUUUUAGGUUUUAGACGAUUACCUUUUUUCUCUUUAUUUAUAUAUACAAAAAAUUUAGACAAAUAAAACAUGUAAUUAUAACUUCAAGUUUAUUAGUGUUAAAUACUUAUAAAUUAAAUUAAUUAUAUGACUAAUUAUAUAGUGUAGGUUUUGUUUAAUAAUUUCAUUGCACAUUGAUUGUAUGAAUAUUAUAUACGAGUGCUAUGUUAUAUUAUAAAAAUUUAAAUAAUAAUAAGAUGAGAUAGUAAUCAAUUGCCAAUUAAUUAUCAAUCUAAAAUUAAGACCAAUUUUUAACCAUUAGAUUAGGAGAUCUAGUGAUUGGCAUAAUAACAAGUGGAUUAUAUUUUAAAUUUUAGCACUAAGAUCAACAAAUAGAUCCAAAUUAGAUCCUUGAGGAGAUUUUAAGGCAGUUAAACCUCCCUCAGUUGGAUAGCAACUUGGCCUAAAAAUAACAAGUAUAUAAACCCCAACAUUUCCAAAUACAGCCACCCAUCACAAUUAAACAUUCCAAAAAUACCACAUAGAAUAGAGGAGUAUGAGGAGGGAGAGUUGCAGAUAAUUGUAGGAUCAAGUCCCCAAUCCAACAACUCUUUGUGCCCACAUCAAAAGGAAUUGAGGCUGCGCCAGCUGCUUUGGUUGGACUCUUUUCCGGUCGGAAUGUGGGAAAGCAAGUUGUUCUUGUGGCUCGUGAUUGAUCAAUUUGGUCCUAUUGAUCUUGAUUUAAUGGACGGUGAGGAUCGAUUUGUGUAUUAAUGUAUAUCUAAAAUAUUUCGUGUAAGCUUCAAUAAAGAAUUACCGUUUUUAUA